rnacentral:rRNA from 1 species
UACGAAGGGGGCUAGCGUUGCUCGGAAUCACUGGGCGUAAAGGGUGCGUAGGCGGGUUUUUAAGUCAGAGGUGAAAUCCCGGAGCUCAACUCCAGAACUGCCUUUGAUACUGAAAAUCUUGAGUAUGGGAGAGGUGGGUGGAACUGCGAGUGUAGAGGUGAAAUUCGUAGAUAUUCGCAAGAACACCAGUGGCGAAGGCGGCUCACUGGCCCAUAACUGACGCUGAGGCACGAAAGCGUGGGGAGCAAACAGG